GAGUUUGAUCGUGGCUCAGAUUGAACGCUGGCGGCAUGCCUUACACAUGCAAGUCGAACGGCAGCAUGAUCUAGCUUGCUAGACUUGAUGGCGAGUGGCGAACGGGUGAGUAAUACCAUCGGAACGUGCCCUGUAGUGGGGGAUAACUAGUCGAAAGAUUAGCUAAUACCCGCAUACGACCUGAGGGUGAAAGUGGGGGACCGCAAGGCCUCAUGCUAUAGGAGCGGUCCGAUGUUCUGAUUAGCUAGUUGGUGGGGUAAAGGCCCACCAAGGCGACGAUCAGUAGCUGGUCUGAGAGGACGAUCAGCCACACUGGGACUGAGACACGGCCCAGACUCCUACGGGAGGCAGCAGUGGGGAAUUUUGGACAAUGGGCGAAAGCCUGAUCCAGCAAUGCCGCGUGCG
rnacentral:rRNA from 1 species